rnacentral:rRNA from 1 species
UGCAAGUCGAGCGGAACGACACUAUUGAUCCUUCGGGUGCGUUAAUGGGCGUCGAGCGGCGGACGGGUGAGUAAUGCCUAGGAAAUUGCCUUGAUGUGGGGGAUAACCAUUGGAAACGAUGGCUAAUACCGCAUAAUGCCUACGGGCCAAAGAGGGGGACCUUCGGGCCUCUCGCGUCAAGAUAUGCCUAGGUGGGAUUAGCUAGUUGGUGAGGUAAUGGCUCACCAAGGCGACGAUCCCUAGCUGGUCUGAGAGGAUGAUCAGCCACACUGGAACUGAGACACGGUCCAGACUCCUACGGGAGGCAGCAGUGGGGAAUAUUGCACAAUGGGCGAAAGCCUGAUGCAGCCAUGCCGCGUGUAUGAAGAAGGCCUUCGGGUUGUAAAGUACUUUCAGUUGUGAGGAAGGGGGUAACGUUAAUAGCGUUAUCUCUUGACGUUAGCAACAGAAGAAGCACCGGCUAACUCCGUGCCAGCAGCCGCGGUAAUACGGAGGGUGCGAGCGUUAAUCGGAAUUACUGGGCGUAAAGCGCAUGCAGGUGGUUCAUUAAGUCAGAUGUGAAAGCCCGGGGCUCAACCUCGGAACUGCAUUUGAAACUGGUGAACUAGAGUGCUGUAGAGGGGGGUAGAAUUUCAGGUGUAGCGGUGAAAUGCGUAGAGAUCUGAAGGAAUACCAGUGGCGAAGGCGGCCCCCUGGACAGACACUGACACUCAGAUGCGAAAGCGUGGGGAG